rnacentral:rRNA from 1 species
UAGUCCACGCCGUAAACGAUGUCAACUAGCCGUUGGGAGCAAUUAAGCUUUUAGUGGCGCAGCUAACGCGAUAAGUUGACCGCCUGGGGAGUACGCCGGCAACGGUAAAACUCAAAUGAAUUGACGGGGGCCCGCACAAGCGGUGGAGCAUGUGGUUUAAUUCGAUGCAACGCGAAAAACCUUACCUACCCUUGACAUCCUCAGAACUUGUUAGAGAUAACUUGGUGCCUUUAUUGGAGCUUAGUGACAGGUGCUGCAUGGUUGUCGUCAGCUCGUGCCGUGAGAUGUUGGGUUAAGUCCCGCAACGAGCGCAACCCUCGCCUUUAGUUGCCAUCAUUUAGUUGGGCACUCUAGAGGAACUGCCGGUGAUAAGCCGGAGGAAGGUGGGGAUGACGUCAAGUCCUCAUGGGCCCUUACGGGGUAGGGGCUACACACGUGCUACAAUGGGUGACUACAGAGGGGUUAAUCCCUAAAAGUCAUCUCAGUUCGGGAUUGUUCUCUGCAACUCGA